rnacentral:rRNA from 1 species
CACGGGACACGUGAAACCCUGUGGGAAGCAGGAGGGACCACCCUCCAAGGCUAAAUACUACCUAGGGACCGAUAGCGUAUAGUACCGUGAGGGAAAGGGGAAAAGAACCCCGGGAGGGGAGUGAAAUAGAACCUGAAACCCUGCACUUACAAGCUGUGGAAGCACAUUGCUUGUGUGACCGCGUACUUUUUGUAGAACGGGCCAACGAGUUACGUUAAGUAGCAAGGUUAAGCACUUAAGGUGUGGAGC